rnacentral:rRNA from 1 species
GACGAACGCUGGCGGCGUGCCUAAUACAUGCAAGUCGAACGCAGUGGGGACGGGUGAGUAACACGUGGGUAACCUCCCAUCAGAGGGGAUAACACUUGGAAACAGGUGCUAAACCGAUACUGAUGGAUGGACCCGCGGUGCAGUAGCUAGUUGGUGAGGUAACGGCUCACCAAGGCCACGAUUCAUAGCGGACCGGAGAGGGUGAUCGGCCAACCGUGUACUGAGAAACGGCCCAGACGCCUCCGGGAGGCCGCAGGAGGGAAUCUUCGGCAAUGGACGAAAGUCUGACCGAGCAACGCCGCGUGAGUGAAGAAGGUUGUCGGAUCGUAAAACUCUGUUGUUAGAGAAGCGGUAUCUAACCAGAAAGCCACGGCUAACUACGUGCCAGCCGCCGCGGUAAUUC